AGGACUGGGGCAAAACAGUGAGGCAAAAGAGCACGGAAUUAGAUGUCCAGAGACCUGGGUCUUAAUUCCAUCCUGACAACUACUACUUGUACGACCUUGAGCAAGUCCUUUGCCUUUCUACUUAUAAAAUGAGGUCAAAUGAGUCCCAGAGAGCUGAAGCAACUUGGUCAAGGUCACCCGGGUCCUGGCUUUAGAUUGACAUCUCAGUGCCAACAUGCCACCUCCCACAGGCUCAAGAAUUUGUUUCCUGCCCCUGAACAGUAUUAAAGCCUGAGCCUCUGUGCAAAUAAGACCAGCUCUAACACCAAUACCACUCUCAUCUAUGCUACUUCAGGUUUUCUAAUUCCGGAAGGCCCUCCAGAGGUGUACAUGCAGGUCACGGGGGUCGUUAGAGUAUCCAUGGCACCAUCAGUCAGCCUAAAAGACCUUACGUUUACAUCCUUGAUGCAUAGCAUGGAGCCUGACAGGUGUGUCCUCACCCUGCAGCACAGUGAAGCAUGGCAAGAGGACCCUGCGUCAGGGAAACUAACCUGCAGUCCCUGCCAACUCUACCCAGUGGAAGGAAGAGUCCAGCAGGCUGGAAUCUCUCCAAGGAUCCACCUUUCUUCUCCAAACCAGGAUCCUUAAGCCUGGCUUGAAAGAAGAGGGAGAAGGCUUCAGGGGAAAUGCUGUCUGCGCUGACCCACAGCAUGGCUUCCUUCAACAAAUGUAGAGAAGGAAAGCAAAGCCCAGAGAGGGAAAUUCUCACCCAAGGCCUUGUAGCUGCUGGCAGUGGAGUAGCCUCUAGUCUCUCAGGCCAGUGUCUUGCCACUGUGAAGAAGAGGAAUGGUCAAACCCACUGCGGAGAGAGAAUGUGUCAUUGACCACACU